GAGGGUGUCUCAUCCCCGUUGAUCUGCAGCAUGAGAUGCAUUCAAAACAAUGGAACUGGAAAAUAUUGUCGUGUUUUCUACUUUAAUGCAACUACUAAAACCUGCCAGUUAGGAGUUUUUAGUGAACUGGAUCAGAGUUUUCAAGAUAACAUUACAAAAAUAGUUUGGAGACAAAAAGG